rnacentral:miRNA from 10 species
AGGGGCAUUCUUGGAAGACAGU